UACAGAGGGUGCGAGCGUUUAAUCGGAUUUACUGGGCGUAAAGGGCGCGUAGGCGGUUUGACAAGUCUGAUGUGAAAUCUAUGGGCUCAACCCAUAGCCUGCAUUAGAAACUGUCGGGCUUGAGUAUGGGAGAGGUGAGUGGAAUUUCCGGUGUAGCGGUGAAAUGCGUAGAUAUCGGAAGGAACACCUGUGGCGAAAGCGGCUCACUGGACCAUAACUGACGCUGAGGCGCGAAAGCUAGGGGAGCAAACAGG
rnacentral:rRNA from 1 species